rnacentral:rRNA from 1 species
AGAACGAACGCUGGCGGCAGGCCUAACACAUGCAAGUCGAACGCCGUAGCAAUACGGAGUGGCAGACGGGUGAGUAACGCGUGGGAACAUACCCUUCGGUUCGGAAUAACUCAGGGAAACUUGAGCUAAUACCGGAUACGUCCGAGGUUUUAAUCGACCUUGGAGAAAGAUUUAUCGCCGGAGGAUUGGCCCGCGUCUGAUUAGCUUGUUGGUGAGGUAAUGGCUCACCAAGGCGACGAUCAGUAGCUGGUCUGAGAGGAUGAUCAGCCACAUUGGGACUGAGACACGGCCCAAACUCCUACGGGAGGCAGCAGUGGGGAAUAUUGGACAAUGGGCGAAAGCCUGAUCCAGCCAUGCCGCGUGAGUGAUGAAGGCCUUAGGGUGUAAAGCUCUUUACCGGGAAGAUAAUGACGGUACCGGAGAAUAAGCCCGGCUAACUUCGUGCCAGCAGCCGC